AUGAACGCUGGCGGCGUGCCUAAUACAUGCAAGUCGCGCGAACGGACGAGAAGCUUGCUUCUCUGAUGUUAGCGGCGGACGGGUGAGUAACCCGUGGAUAACCUACCUAUAAGCCUAGGAUAACUUCGGGAAACCGGAGCUAAUACCGGAUGAUAUUUUGAACCGCAUGGUUCAAAAGUGAAAGACGGUCUUGCUGUCACUUAUAGAUGGAUCCGCGCUGCAUUAGCUAGUUGGUAAGGUAACGGCUUACCAAGGCAACGAUGCAUAGCCGACCUGAGAGGGUGAUCGGCCACACUGGAACUGAGACACGGUCCAGACUCCUACGGGAGGCAGCAGUAGGGAAUCUUACGCAAUGGGCGAAAGCCUGACGGAGCAACGCCGCGUGAGUGAUGAAGGUCUUCGGAUCGUAAAACUCUGUUAUUAGGGAAGAACAUAUGUGUAAGUAACUGUGCACAUCUUGACGGUACCUAAUCAGAAAGCCACGGCUAACUACGUG
rnacentral:rRNA from 1 species